AAGCGUUACAGUUCUUUUAGAAUUUGUCUAGCAGGCUUUCUGGUUCUCACUGAAAGACACA
rnacentral:snRNA from 1 species